GCCCCUUUAGUCUAGAGGCCAAGGAUUCAGCCUUCUCAAGGCUGAGACCCGGGUUCGAAUCCCGGAAGGGGCA
rnacentral:tRNA from 1 species